rnacentral:lncRNA from 1 species
GGGGUGGGGUGGGGGUGGGGUGGGGUGGGGGCCGCCGCGCAUGCGCCGCACCUGCAGCGCCGCCCGCUGGCCCGCAGCUGGGUGUAGGCAGAGUGCGCCCCGGGACCCCGCCGCGUCCCUUCCGGGUGCCCCGCUCUUCUGGUUCCUCUGCUGCUGCCUGGCGCCGUUUUGCAGCCUCCUGGCCCUCGCUGGUCCCUGCUCCGGACUUGGGCGCUCGGCUCCCGAGCCUCGGUGCGGACCGGGAGCUGAGGCCGGGAGCUGAGCCCUGCGGCCGGCGGCCUAGCGGCAUCCUCGCCUGGCGUGGGUGGGAGCGUCUCCGAUCCUGCUUCUCAUUACCUGUGGGUGGUAACUGGAGACUGCUUCGUGAGUCCGUGCCUGGGAUGCUCCAGUUGUCAUCCCUGCUGACUUGGAGAAAAUUCAAACAGAAAUGGAAAGAGCCCAUUAGUGAGUCCAAGGGAGGCUUGACACUACAUGCUCCUCGGGGCAGAGGCAGCCGACCCUAGUGACCUACCAGGCAAGACAUGCUGGCCGCGACUGGGCACUGAGGAUUUAGAAGUUGCAAGGACUUGUUAGAGCACCCGACUGGAAUCCAGCAGUGACCCAUGAGUUCAGAGGUGUCGUGGUGGUUCUUCCUCUCGGUGCCCCUACACCUCAUCUGUCACUUCCGCCUCAGGACAUCUAUGUUUGCAGCACACAUUGGAUGGAAACGGCUGGGCACCAGAUAGCGCUUUGCCCACUGCCCAUGCUCCCAUCACCCUUUUGUCUACUUUUCCCUGGAUCGAAUAUCCAAAUUCUUCAUUCUACUUUUUUGUUCACAAAUCUCAUUUUUCAUUACUGUAUAAUUUUGACUGUUACUAUUUUCUCUGGUUUUGCCCAUUUUUUGUGCUACUUUCUAAAUCUAGAGACCAGAGAUUUCAUCUAGAAAACAGUGCCUCACUGUCUUGCUGAAUCAUGCUUGCUCUGCCUUCCUUCUGCAAAACAUCUUUGCAGUGCACACUUCUGGCUGAUUCCUGGGGCUUGGCUUGUAGCCCGUGAGGUAGAAAAGUGAAAGGCAGUUCAGGUUCUACUGAGGAUGCUUCCCAUCCUGUGCACUUAAGGCUGUGCCUCAUCAGAGCACUGAGCUCAGCAGGUGACAGGGGUAAAUGAGCUAGUGCUCCUGGAGCUUUCAGAGAGCUGGCCCGAAUAAUUGGUAGUUAUCAUUUCUGUGCCGGUUUCACUAUUACCGUUACCCGUCAGGCAUGGUACACUCAAAAACUCAAAGUCCAGGGAGUCACUGGAGUCUGAGGUAAGGAGAAAGGAACAGGGUAAGGGGAGAAAGGUAACAAGGGGUUUGAGUGAGUUUGGGCUUCCCUGUGAGUGUACUCUUCACCAUUCCAUGGCUUCUGCCCUUAGGAGACACAGCCCUUUGAUCUUGGGCUUCCUGGACUCUAA